CAAAAUAGUGGUACUUUUAGCCUUUGUUUCUUUUAUACCACACUGCAUUCUCUGUCUCUCACUCAGCUGCUUCUAUUAUACUGACAAAUUAAAUAAACCACUCCAUUGCUAAAGAGGCUUGGGCGGGCUGGGCUUCGGUGCACUGCCGCACUAGGAAGUCGAAAUAAACAUUUAUACAGGAUUUAUUCUCAAAAAAAUUAAGGAAAAUUUAGUCAAGAAUUUAUUUUUUUUUUCCCAAUGGAUGAAUGAAAGACAGAGGGAAAGGGGGAAAAAAAGGAAGGAGUACUUCAAAUUUUUGAGCUGACCUGCAGCACCAAGGGAUCUGGCAUCUGGAGCAAUGGAGUAAUGAGAAGCCAUGUAUCCAGGUGACAUUUGUGAUCACCAUGUGGUGAGCAGAGGAAACUCCCCUCUCUUCCACCCUCAUGCCUGGAACUUGUGCUCAAGAAGCUAAGUCCAUGAGGGAUGAGCAGAAACACAAACUCCUCUGACCACCCUGUUUUUUGAACAUGGGGGUUUGGUGCUCUAAAUAGAGGUAAGCUAGGGAAUGUCUGAGAUCAGGGCUAUGUUAUUUCCCAGAGAACUAAAAACAAGACUACGUGGAGAAAGACAGCAGGACUGAAAAGUAAAACCUGACAAGGGGGUUUGAGAAAACCCUUUCUGUUGUGCAACUCUGCAGUCAGUUUCUGCAGGAGGACUGUAGAUCUCUGAGGUCCCCCUAUGCCCUGAUCCUGUCAGGGUAAUUUUUCUCAUUUUACAACUUCAGUGCUGCACUAAAAUUGUGACAUGGUUUCAUAAGUCAGUUCAGUGUGCAGCCAUUUCACCUUCCCUUAUCCCCCCUCACUCCUGCCAGAUGAGUCUAGGGUGCAGCAACAGCCACGAGUCAAUCAAGGAUGGCUCUGAUUGUAAAUGCCUGCAAUGGUAUAAAUGACAGUGCCGAAGGAGAUUAUAUUCAGAGCCACAUACAUGCUGCAGAGGUCCCACCUCGAGAUUAGCCUAAAAUACCACCCAGAUCUCUAGGUCCCCCCCAAUUAGCACAGCCAGGCAAUCUUCCUGGCACUACACAGGCAAAGACAUAUUUUUAGCUCAGUGCGGUGCUCUUUCUCCUGAACUCUUGGAGCCCUGCUGAGCCA